CCUGAGGCCGCAGGUGCGGGUCCGCGGUGACCUGCCCUGGCUGCGGGGCCCAGGAGGGCGGAGGGCGGAGAACGGCGGCGGCGCCCGAGCUUGGGCAGGGACUUCUGGAGCGGAGUCCGCGCGAGUCGGUGGCCCGGCGCUCCGCCCUCGCCCGCGGCGGGACCCGGGGCGGCUCGGUCCCCGGAGCAGGUCCUACUGCCCCGGGCGCGGACGCAGGUGUCCAGGGCCCCUGCCAGCGCGGCGGAACGGGUCCCUCGACUCCCGCCGCACCAUCGGCCGUUCCCGCCGCCUCGCUGCCCGUAGGGCCGCGGUAGUGCCCACCUGGACACGGACGGCGGGGUAGACGCUGAGACCCAGGCCUCCAUCCGCUGCUGCCCUGCACGGUCCUCGGUCCAGCCCGACCUCCCGACCUCACGGCUGCCCAGGUGGCCGGGCCCCACUCCACCGCUCUGGGCGACCCGCCUGCUGCGCACCCCAGACAGCGCCGUGGGGUGACCCGGGCGCCCUGCUGGGGGAAUGCCCGACGCCCCUUCCUCUUCGGGACCGCGGUGGGCACGGAUGUCGACCCCCAUUCCCCGCCCAGAGACUCUGGAGGUCAGCUCCCCGCGACCUAGAGGUGCUGAGGUAGUGGGCAGUGGUGCGUGUCCGUGGGGGGGCGUGGCCGGCCUCGACCUCCGUCAGUUCAGCGCUGUUCCCUGGGUUUGGGUCUGAAAAGAUUCGUUCCCUUAUUGGACCCUCAGUUUUUCAGUAAAUAUAAAAAAACUGUAGAGUUUGAAGAUAAAAAUAUGUCCAAAGGGGUGAAUUUCAGGUUUAAAAAAAAUUAAUGUUUCAGCCCUCCCUUGGUUAAGUGUUCUCCCCCUUCUUCCCCAUUACCACCUGUCCCCCAUGCUGAGCGGGAUGUUUGUAAAAUGUAUUUUUGUUGAAUAUUAUAAAAUAGUAUUCAACAACCCUGAAGAUUACAGGCAAGUCAUAUGAAAAUAUUCUAGACUUUUCCAUGUGAAACAACAUCUGUGCAAGAAUACGUGAUAUACGUACAGUUUGUAGAAAUAUUAAAAGUCCAUCAUGAAGGAAAGGCCAGCCUUGAUGCAGAACAGGCUUUUACCUUGGCACCCCCCUUGAAAUGAAGCGGGUGUGGGGUUCCUGCACUCUGCAGAUAACAUUUUAAAGUAUGUGGUAUAUAUGUACACACACGCAGAGCAUAGGAUUCAUGUUACACAUAGUCAUAUAUAGAAUUCAUAUAUCGGGGCUGGGAUUGUGGCUCAGCGGUGGAGCGCUCACCUCGCACAGGGCGGGGACCCGGGUUUGAUCCUCAGCACCACAAAAAAAAAAAGCAUUGUGUGUGUCCAUCUACACCUAAAAAAUAAAUAAGUAAAUAAAUAUUUUUUUAAAAUUAAAAUUCAUAUAUCAAAAAUAAU
rnacentral:lncRNA from 1 species